AGCCUGAUCCAGCCAUCCCGCGUGAAGGACGACGCCCUAUGGGUGUAAACUCUUUUGUACAGGGAUAAACCUUUCCACGUGUGGGAAGCUGAAGGUACUGUACGAAUAAGCACCGGCUAACUCCGUGCCAGCAGCCGCGGUAAUACGGAGGGUGCAAGCGUUAUCCGGAUUUAUUGGGUUUAAAGGGUCCGUAGGCGGACUCGUAAGUCAGUGGUGAAAUCUCACAGCUUAACUGUGAAACUGCCAUUGAUACUGCGGGUCUUGAGUGUUGUUGAAGUAGCUGGAAUAAGUAGUGUAGCGGUGAAAUGCAUAGAUAUUACUUAGAACACCAAUUGCGAAGGCAGGUUACUAAGCAACAACUGACGCUGAUGGACGAAAGCGUGGGGAGCGAACAGGAUUAGAUACCCUGGUAGUCCACGCCGUAAACGAUGCUAACUCGUUUUUGGGUCUUUAAGAUUCAGAGACUAAGCGAAAGUGAUAAGUUAGCCACCUGGGGAGUACGUUCGCAAGAAUGAAACUCAAAGGAAUUGACGGGGGCCCGCACAAGCGGUGGAUUAUGUGGUUUAAUUCGAUGAUACGCGAGGAACCUUACCAAGGCUUAAAUGGGAAUUGAUUGGUUUAGAAAUAGACCGUCCUUCGGGCAAUUUUCAAGGUGCUGCAUGGUUGUCGUCAGCUCGUGCCGUGAGGUGUUAGGUUAAGUCCUGCAACGAGCGCAACCCCUGUCACUAGUUGCCAUCAUUCAGUUGGGGACUCUAGUGAGACUGCCUACGCAAGUAGAGAGGAAGGUGGGGAUGACGUCAAAUCAUCACGGCCCUUACGCCUUGGGCCACACACGUAAUACAAUGGCCGGUACAGAGGGCAGCUACACAGCGAUGUGAUGCAAAUCUCGAAAGCCGGUCUCAGUUCGGAUUGGAGUCUGCAACUCGACUCUAUGAAGCUGGAAUCGCUAGUAAUCGCGCAUCAGCCAUGGCGC
rnacentral:rRNA from 1 species